CGAACCGUCCAAACGUUAUUCGGAAUCACUGGGCUUAAAGAGUUCGUAGGCGGCUCAGAAAGUAGGGUGUGAAAUCCCACGGCUUAACCGUGGAACUGCGCCCUAAACUACUGAGCUUGAGGGAGCUAGAGGUAAGCGGAACUGAUGGUGGAGCGGUGAAAUGCGUUGAUAUCAUCAGGAACACCGGAGGCGAAGGCGGCUUACUGGGGCUUUUCUGACGCUGAGGAACGAAAGCCAGGGUAGCGAACGGGAUUAGAUACCCCGGUAGUCCUGGCCGUAAACGAUGAGCACUGAGCCGGAGGCCUGCACAGGUUUCCGGCUGUAGCGAAAGUGUUAAGUGCUCCGCCUGGGGAGUAUGGUCGCAAGGCUG
rnacentral:rRNA from 1 species